rnacentral:rRNA from 1 species
UACGUAGGGGGCAAGCGUUGUCCGGAAUCAUUGGGCGUAAAGAGCGUGUAGGCGGCUCGGUAAGUCCGCUGUGAAAGUCCAGGGCUCAACCCUGGAAGGCCGGUGGAAACUGCCGGGCUAGAGUCCGGAAGAGGCGAGUGGAAUUCCCGGUGUAGCGGUGAAAUGCGCAGAUAUCGGGAGGAACACCGGUGGCGAAGGCGCUGCUCUGGGCCGAAACUGACGCUGAGGAGCGAAAGCGUGGGUAGCAAACAGG